AGCUGAUCCAGUUCAAAGCAGACAUCAAUGCUGUGAACGAGCACGGGAACACGCCGCUGCACUACGCCUGCUUCUGGGGACACGACCAGGUGGCCGAGGACCUGGUGGGCAACGGGGCCUUGGUCAGCAUUGCUAACAAAUACGGUGAGACGCCCAUUGACAAAGCCAAGACACCCCUGCGAGAGGUCCUGAAAGAGCGUGCGGAGAAGCUGGGCCAGAGCCUCACCAAGAUCCCCUACAAGGACACCUUCUGGAAGGGCACGACCCGCACGCGUCCCCGAAACGGGACUCUCAACAAACUUGCUGGAAUAGACUUCAAACAGCUGAGCUUGAGCCAAAAACUCAACGAGAACCAGUCAGGAGAGCUGUGGAAAGGGCGCUGGCAAGGCAACGACAUUGUCA